GCGAGAGUGGCGGAAUUGGCAGACGCGCAGGAUUUAGGUUCCUGUGCCGCAAGGCGUGAGGGUUCGAGUCCCUCCUCUCGCA
rnacentral:tRNA from 1 species